rnacentral:rRNA from 1 species
CGGACGGGUGAGUAAUGUCUGGGAAACUGCCCGAUGGAGGGGGAUAACUACUGGAAACGGUAGCUAAUACCGCAUAACGUCGCAAGACCAAAGAGGGGGACCUUCGGGCCUCUUGCCAUCGGAUGUGCCCAGAUGGGAUUAGCUAGUAGGUGGGGUAACGGCUCACCUAGGCGACGAUCCCCAGCUGGUCUGAGAGGAUGACCAGCCACACUGGAACUGAGACACGGUCCAG